GUAAAAGCCCAACUCAUCUCAAGGCACACGAGAUUGUGCAGGACCCCAUCCUGUCCCCUCCUUGCCCUUGCCCUCUCCCAUUCUGCCCCUCACUCACUCUGCUCCAGCUACAGGGGCCUCCUCCCUGCUCCUCCAACAUGCCAGGCAGGGUACUACCCCAGGACCUUUGCACCUGCUGUUCCAUCUGUCCAAACUGCUCUUCCCCCUGAUAUGCCCACACCUCACUCCUUUACCUCCUUCGGGUCUUUAUUUUUAUUUUCGAUCCCCUGCCACUUGAAAAGGCCACCCCCAAACAGGGACGUCUGUGAGCUUCAUCCCCUGCUGGAGUCCCAGUUCCAAAUGGCGCAGGUGCACAGUCGGUGUUCCCUUAAUAUUCCCUAAAGGUUGAGUAAGUGUUAGACAUUAUUGCUGUUAUUAUCAGCCUAUUAUUUGUCCCUCAGUCCCCUGUGGUCUCUCUGGGGGCCAGGGCUUUCUCCUUCUGUCAACAAACGUUUCUUGAGGACCUACUAGGUGCCUAGCAGCAAAGGAAUAGACAAAAAUCCCCACACUCCCCAAAUCUGCUUUCAAAUGCAGGCUCCAAGUGUGUGAACCAAGAAACGAUUUCAGACAACAGCAAGAAAGUACGGACAAUAGAGAAAAUAAAACGGGAGGUUUGCAGAGCGGCGGGGGUGAGGCCGAGUCCCCCCCCCCCCCCCAAGCAGGUGCUGCUACAGCAGAGGAUUAAGGAGAAGGAGCCAGCUGCAGGCAGGUGGGGCGGGUGCUUCAAGUUCAGCUCACACUGAAGCUCUCACCCUGCGGCCGUAAGAAUAAAUGAAGGAAAACACAGACGCAGGCACACGUGACCGGAUGACCCAGCCCCCCCCCCACCUGGACCCGGGAUUGCGUGACCCCUGAGUCCACGAGGGCAUGGGAAGAGAGGCCCCCGUGGCCGAGACACCCUGCCCUUCCUCCGGGGUUCCCAGACGCCCUGACACAGGCUCCCCCGGAGGAAGAGGAAGAGCUUCAGCCGGGGGCAGCCUUGUGGGCCAGCUGCUGGGGUGGGGGGACUUCUUCCCCGCCCUCUUCCUUCCAGGUAACCCGAGAGGCCGCUGGAAAAUUCCGGGCACAGGAAAUGCAAAUGGGCACAUGGCGGGAAGCAGGCAGGGACGUCACACCCAUAGGGAGCACAGGCCACACCGCUUCCUACCUACGAUUUUGUCUGCCGCCCAAGAGACCCGAGCUCUGCAAUGGCUUCCCACGCCUGCCACGGUGCGUGGUCCCAAACAGAUGCGCCGCAGAGAGCAGGUGAUGUCAGGAGCCUUGGAUGACCCUGGUGUCGGGGUGCUCACUACCUCUCACUGGUGAUUAUCCUGAUCAUUAGAAGGCAGCAUUUGGCUCCAUCCAUCUCCAGCCUCUGUGUGCCUCCACCCAGCAGCUGAGAAUGACCCCCUGUCCCACGCCAGGCAAGUCCACAGAGGGAGCUUUGGCUGGAAGAAGAAGCUACCAGACUGGGGGCCAAGAGAGGGGAGACGCUGGUGAAGGACAUCAGUGGCUCAGUGUUUUCCAGGAAGGCUAGAGUGCACGAAGAAUGCAAAGGUGGGAAAGGACCUGCUGGGGGUGGCCCUGUGUCCCCUGACGUGUCUCCCUUGGGUGCGGUGGUGGGCGGGGGGGGGGGGCUGUCCACUCCACCAGCCACAUGGGUCCCAGCCACUGGCAGAGACGGGCAGGGCCAGCCACAGAGGUGCACGGUUGGCACCUGGCUGCAGUGGCUUCCCAGGGUCUGUCCCUCUCGGCAUGUCCUUAACCAGGCAGACGUUCUAAAGGUUUCUGCACACCGCAGAAAGGGGGAGGGGGGCAGGGCCACGUGACACAGAGCCUCACCUCACUGAGCCCACAGCUUCCUCAGCUGCAAAAUGGGACCAAUGGAACCCAUUUCCCUGGACGGCCGUGAAGGUUUCAUGAGAGAAAUAAGCUGUCUGGGAAGUUCUCAGAGAGCGGUGACCCCUCCCUUAUGAUUAACCAGCCCCGGGAGCCGCUUCAGGAUGCAUCUUGACAAUUGGAAAUAUGGAAAGACACAAGGCUGUGCUGCUGUGGGCAUCUCGUUAUGAGAACGUUGGUUUCUUGGGUUAUAUUAAGAUGUGGUUUUCCUGUUCAAGCCUCUGAAAUCCCCUGUGGGUUCUCUGGGGGUUCAGCAGCAGGGGAAGAGGUAGGUCCCCAACAAGGAGUGGGCAGGAGAAGGAGGUCCGGCCUCCUGCACUUUGGUUGCUGCCUGAACUUGGGAAACCAGCCCCGGGUCCUUGGGGGUUGCCACAAAGGGUCCCUACGCCGGACUCCCACCAUUGGCGAAUUAAAAACAUAAGAGGUGCAGUUGUCUGUGUUUUCUCUGGCCAUCCUGAGUCUCCGGGUGAGCUAAGGACCUUCUCCUGACAGAAUAAAUACUAUCUCCUCCCUGCGUGUAGGUCUGUU
ensembl:lncRNA